GAUGCAGUUGUAACAUGGGUUCGAAAUAGAAAAAAUAAGGAAAUUCCGUAUGUUGCAGAACCAUUUGGAUCAAAAGACCUCUCUAGAAAACAAAAUUUAAGGAACAGUUUUAGAGAGAAAUGGACUAGAGAACAAACAGAUGAUAAUUUGCAGAUUGUACCUCUUAAUGAAAACAGCAACGAGUACAAAAUUGCUGAGAAAAGUUUCCAGGAGCAUAAUAAAAAUUUUGA